UAAAUGUUGGACAUUGACAGACCUAUUUGGUGCCGGGGUCACCACCCCAGCAGGUGCUGCUGCGCCGGGAGACGAGCGAGUGGAGGCAGACAUGGUUGAACACUUGACAUGUGAGAGCCUGAGGAGUUGUUCCCCCUCCGUCCAUUUUCAAGGACUUGCUCUCUCUCUGCCUCCACUUCACCACUUUUUGGCUACUGAGACGUCUCUGAUUGGUUGAGUUGACCACCCUAUAUAUGAGAGCCUAAGGAGUUGUUUUCCCUCUGUCCCCUUUUGAGGACCUGCUUUGUCUCCUCCAUCAUUCACUGGGCCACUUUUG